UACGGGGGGGGCAAGCGUUGUUCGGAAUUACUGGGCGUAAAGGGCUCGUAGGUGGCCAACUAAGUCAGACGUGAAAUCCCUCAGCUUAACUGGGGAACUGCGUCUGAUACUGGAUGGCUUGAGAUUGGGAGAGGGAUGCGGAAUUCCAGGUGUAGCGGUGAAAUGCGUAGAUAUCUGGAGGAACACCGGUGGCGAAGGCGGCAUCCUGGACCAACACUGACGCUGAGGAGCGAAAGCCAGGGGAGCAAACGGG
rnacentral:rRNA from 1 species